rnacentral:rRNA from 1 species
GUUACCGGUGAACCGGGCAAGGGACGGCCCCGCCGUUAGGGGUUAAAAACCGGAUAGACUGGCGGCU